AAAAAGGCAAACCCUGGGUUUCCGUGUCCAACUUUGACUGUCCGUCUUAUAUGAAAUUUUUUUAUAAUUCGUAUUUUUAUUGUUGUUAGAUGAUAAAACAUGAUUAAUAUUUUAUGCGUGACUUGUUUUUUUAAUUUUUUUCAUAAUUUUUUCAAAUAAGACGGACGGUCAAACGUUGGGCACGGAAACCAGCAUAAA
rnacentral:pre_miRNA from 1 species